rnacentral:lncRNA from 1 species
CGCGUCCGGUGGGAACUGCCGGUCUACGCGGCCGGCAGAUCUGGGCGGGUGCGGACCUGGCCACGCACAACUUGUGGUUUCGAGGGAUGGGGUCGCUAAGUCUCUCAGGCUGUUCUGGACCUCGCGAUCCUCCUGCCUCAGCCUCUUGAGUAGCCGCUCAGGCCUGCCCUUGUCUGUCUGCUCUCCCAGCCGCGGGGAGUCGGCGGUCCUGGCAGCACGAGCCCCUCCUGCCCUCACCGGCCCCAGUGAUUCUGAGAGGCCCACCCGCCCUCUCCUCAGCCUUCCUGGAUACAGUGCCUGGUGACAAGGACGUGCUCGGGCCCACCGGGAAUCGGGGAACCAGGCCACUGGGGAUGCUGUUCCGCCCACACUCUGGCUGCACCCUGGAGAGCAGCUAUUUUUACUGAUCAUCUCUCCCAAAGUGGGCAUGGAAAAGUGGGAAACCAGUGGGACCUUCCCCAGGUGCGGCCUGUUUCCCUGGCACCUGCCCUCCUCUGCACCCUAACCACGGGCCUUCAUCCCCGAGCUCUUCUGGCUCCACCUCUGCGAUCAGAACUGAGCCCGGAGAACCCGGGCCAGAGAGGGGCUGGUCCAGCCCUGGCGUGGCUGCUGUCUGGGUGCAGCUGGGCUCCAGGCCCUGGGACUCCCCAC